UUAAGGCAGGUUAGUUUAAUUUUAUAGAAGAAAUAUUUUUCAAACAGUACAAAUGACACAAUUAGAGAGAAAACAGUGACAAAAAACAAAGAGAUGAAUACUGAUUAUAACUUAUUCCCACAACAGAAGGCUACUUAUUUCUACAAUUAUCAAUCAAAGCCUGACAAUUCAAUGAUUAGAUGAAAUGAAAGCCAAAUUCCCUUUUACGUGUGGUACUAUUUCAAAAGAACCCUGGUGGCAGGAUCCUGAUGGUUUUGAGACCAGAACUGCUCCUAAAACCUGGCAGCGUUUUGGUUUUUUUUUCUAUCGUGAGGCCUGGUAGAUGGAGAGAUUGAAACAUAGAUGGAAACACCCCUUCAGCUCAUAGGACUUCACUUUUCUGGCAUGUGGGGUAUUUUCUGGGGUUGGCGUGGCAGUCUGAACUAGUCAGAAGCUCCAAGACCACGUCAUGAAUGACAAGCAGCAUAGGGCGCUUGGUGUCCUUCUGCCUGCUCGGGCCACCUCCACUGCCUGCAUCUGCAUCUGCAGAGAACUGCCCAGCUCUCUGGCCUGCCUUUGUCUUUUCUUUCCUUGUCAUGGCUGCAUUGAGCUGCAAAAGCAGACACAGGCAGGGAGGCAGGGGGAAGUUCAAAGGAAAGGUGGCAAACACGAGGGCUCCUUGAACUGAUAUGGAAGCAGGGGCGGCAUCUGUUUCUUGCGGGCUAUCAGUGAGAUUCUAUUUGUAAAAAACCCAGCCAGGCAUGGUGGCUUGCAAGUCCAAGAUCAGCCUGGACAACAGAGCAAGACCUUGACUCUAAGAAAAAAAUCAAAAUAGGCUAGGCACAGUGGCUCAUGCCUAUAAUCUCAGAACUUUGGGAGGGUGAGGCAGGAGGGUCACCUGAGCCCAGGAGGUUGAGGCUGCAGUGAGCUAUGAUCACAUCACUGCACUCCAGCCUGGGCAACAAAGCAAGACCCUGUCUCUUAAAAAAAAAAAAAAAAACCCUUUGGGUGUCAGGGUGGAAGGGAAGUACUUCAAAUGGAAAUCUGUGCAGGCUGGGCAGUGAAAUUUAUUUGAAAACAUUUGUCUGGGGCUUCCUGCACUGACACAGUGGGUUUCCCCACACAACUACUUAGCAGGGGUUGGCAGAAAAGUAGCCUCAAUCCCUCCCAUUUAGAGAGAUCCUUGUGGGGCACAGGCUCGGUGUCCUGGGGCCGAGGUGGAAAUGAGCUGCACCCCUGAACAGCCUAGGGUCUGGCAGUGUGGAUGGUUGUUUGUUGCCCUUCAAAGUUUCAACAGUUGGGGCCUGGAGACAGGGCCUGCCCAGCAGCACUGGGAAGGACCCAGGGUGCUCCGUGUCUCCCCACCUCUGUUGUGGGCACAUGUAAAAAGGAAUUGGCCAAAAAGAAAAAAAAAAAAAAAAAGGCAAAACAUGCAAGGCUAGAGGCAGAAAUACAUAGCAAGAGACAAGAAGUGUGAAAAGCAUCAGGAUUGCAGUCUUACCACCACUGACGAAUUCCAUUGUCCGUGAUAGGUCGCGUGUCAAUGAAAUGCUUUUACAAAAUCCACUUUUAAUAAAUGUAAAAAGGAAAGCAGGUUAUACAAGGGGGGAAGCUACAGACUGAUGAGAAGAGAGAGGCCUGAUUCAAAGGGGUAUCUCCAAGGGAAGGGAAGAAAGGUCCAGGAGGAAGAGUUCUGAGUUCUGGUUCCUCUGACAUUUCCUGUGGCCCACCCCAUUGACUCAAAUCGAGGCCUCAUUGAGAAGAAUGCAUUUCAUCUAUAAUAAAUAUGUAUUAGGCAAAAUAUUUAUAUCAUUUGGCAUUUUAAAGAGUAAUGGCAUAUUUUUAUUACAUUAAAAAAUGUUUUUCCUCACAAGCUAGUUCUAAGAUUUCUUGAGGAAUAGUGGGUCGACUCCAGUACAGGGAGCCUUCUGACUCAAACCCAAUCCUCUCCUCUGGACGACUCGCUGGGUAGUUCUAGUUACCCGUAUGUCCUUUCCUCCCCCAAACAAGCACCUUCAAAGGUGAUGGUGUCUAUGUCCUAACUGCUAUAUUCAUCCACGGAGUCAAUGAGCGUGGGCGUUCCUACUUCCUCGUUCCCUUUCACUUUCCUUCAUGACACAGUGGCGUGGCAGGAGUUCCUCCGCCACCUUCCUGGUCUGUUACAGUCGGACAGGGCAGGGUGGGGGGAGGCGGGCAGCAUGGACAGCCACCACGGACAGGCAGGCUGAAGACCCACAGACAGCCACCACAAGCAAGCAGGCUGAAGCCCCAUACACCAGAGGCUCUGGCGCCUGCUUC
ensembl:lncRNA